rnacentral:rRNA from 1 species
UACGUAGGGAGCAAGCGUUGUCCGGAAUCAUUGGGCGUAAAGCGCGCGUAGGCGGCCUCAUAAGUCCGUUGUGAAAGUCAAAGGCUCAACCUUUGAAAGCCGAUGGAUACUGUGAGGCUAGCGUCCGGAAGAGGCGAGUGGAAUUCCUGGUGUAGCGGUGGAAUGCGCAGAUAUCAGGAGGAACACCAAUAGCGAAGGCAGCUCGCUGGGACGGUACUGACGCUAAGGCGCGAAAGCGUGGGGAGCGAACAGG